UACGGGGGGAGCAAGCGUUGUUCGGAUUUACUGGGCGUAAAGGGCGCGUAGGCGGUCAGCACAAGUCAGUUGUGAAAUCUCCGGGCUUAACUCGGAAAGGUCAACUGAUACUGUGCGACUAGAGUGCAGAAGGGGCAACUGGAAUUCUCGGUGUAGCGGUGAAAUGCGUAGAUAUCGAGAGGAACACCUGCGGCGAAGGCGAGUUGCUGGGCUGACACUGACGCUGAUGCGCGAAAGCCAGGGGAGCGAACGGG
rnacentral:rRNA from 1 species